AUCACUUUAUUAUUUCCGUAGUUUCUUUCUUCAUAAAAAAAAAAAUCUCUCGAUAAAUCGAGUCCUCCAAAAGUCGCAGAAACGGAAAAUUCAUGAACAUUGUCAGAUUAGUAAGUGUUUACAUCUCUGUAAAUCAUGAAUUUCUCUGAGGAUUGAAGCUUCGAUCGCCGUUUUGUUUUAGAGUUUCGCGCUGUUUUGUUCUCUUUGGAUUCCGCCUGAAUCUGAUCCGAUUGAUUGGGUUUCUCGCUCGUCGUCGAGAUCGAGGAUCCAAGAAGAGAGAACCUGUUUGGUUUUGCUACCCAAACUGGAUCACAUACAUACGGUGUCCCUUUCUCUCUCUCUGUCACUGCUGAUUCCGAUGGUGGUCAAGAGGAUCAUAGCAGAAAAAAAGUUCAGAUAGCCUUCCCCCCUAAGGAGAAAGAGGCUGACGAGAGAGAUGCAAGAGCUAAAAGUGAUGAAGCAAUUUGCUGGGAUCUUGGUUACGUUUUGAAGCCCGACUCCGCGUGAAACCACCUUUUUAAGGUAAAUUCUCUUUCUACGCUAGAGUUUCCCGAUUUGUUUUUGAAGCUUGAUUCCGGUUUUUGUUUUGAGAUUAUUUCUUUAUUUAAUAAACACAUCUGAUGUCUUUGGGAUUUUGACAUCAGCGUUCCUUUUUUUACUGGUUUUGUUUUUGAAUUCAACAAAGCCUUUCAACGCCUUCUUCUAAUGUUUUUGGGUAUUGUUUUGUUUUGAUAUUUUUGCUUUUCACUUCAAAACCCCCAAAAAGAUCAUAGACAGACACUAAUCUAAUAGUGCACUGUCAGAUUCUUAUUUUGGGAACAUUUGUCCCGUUGCUGCCUCUAGAAGAUGCUUAUUACCCACGGCUUGAGAGAAUCUGUUUUUAAUUAUUUGGAUGGAAUGUGGGGAUAUAAUGACCCAAGUCUUUAGACAAAGACUGAAAAUUAAAAACAGAUUCCUUUCUUAACACUACCCACGGCUUACGUCUUUAGGCAAAGACAUGACCCACGGCUUACAAAAUCAGACUUGUUAGACAGGUCAGUUAAAAAGACCCAAGGCUUACAAAAGUCUUCAGACAAAGACUUGUUAGUCAUGUCAGUUAAAAAGACCCAAGGCUUACAAAAGUCUCAGGACAUGUCAGUUAAAAGUCCCAACGGCACAAGUCUUUUGGUACCCACGGCUUGAGAGAAUCUGUUUUUAAUUAUUUGGAUGGAAUGUGAUGUAUAAUGACCAAAGUCUUCAGACAAAGACUGUAAGUUAAAAACAGAUUCCUUUCUUAACACCACCAACUGCUUACGUCUUUAGGCAAAGGCAUGACCCACGGCUUACAAAAGUCUUCAGACUUGUUAGACAAGUCAGUUAAAAAGACCCAAGGCUUACAAAAGUCUUCAGACAAAGACUUGUUAGUCGUGUCAGUUAAAAAGACCAAAGGCUUACAAAAGUCUCAAGACAUGUCAGUUAAAAGUCCCAACGACACAAGUCUUUUGGUACCCACGGCUUGAGAGAAUCUGUUUUUAAUUAUUUGGAUGGAAUGUGGAGUAUAAUGACCAAAGUCUUCAGACAAAUACUGUAAUUAAAAACAGAUUCCUUUCUUAACACUAUCCACGGCUUACAAAAGACUUCAGACUUGUUAGACAAGUCAGUUAAAAAGACCCAAGGCUUACAAAAGUCUUCUGACAAAGACUUGUUAGUCAUGUCAGUUAAAAAGACCCAAGGCUUACAAAAGUCUCAAGACAUGUCAGUUAAAAGUCCCCACAGCACAAAAGCCUUUUACUACACACGGCUUACAAAAGUCUUAAGACAAAGACUUGUUAGACAUGUCAGUUAAAAAGACAAAGGCAUACAAAGCAUGUCAGUUAAAAGUCCCCACGGCUUAAAAGUCUUUACUACUACCCACGGCUUAAGAAAAUCUGUUUUGAUCAACUGGAUGGUAUUUAGCGACCAGUGGUUAUGAAAGUCUUAAGACAAAGACUACACACACUUAAAACAGAUUCCUUACUUCUUUACCCACGGCUUAAAAGUCUUAACUACUACCCACGGCUUAAGAAAAUCUGUUUUGAUCAACUGGAUGGUAUGUAUAGCGACUAGUGGUUAUGAAAGUCUAAAGACAGAGUACACACUAGAAAUAGAUUCCUUACUUCUUUACCCACGGCUUGCACAGUUCAAAGACCCAUGGCUUACAAAAACUCUAGACAAUAACAUAUACCCACGUCUUACAAAAACUCUUCAGACAAUAUAACAUAAAAGACAUGUCGGUUAAAGGACUUAUAGAUGGAAAUGUCCUUAGAGAAAGACUAUGAAUGGGGAACCGAGACCCAUUUGAAUGGGAAAGAAACUUUAAUCACCCACGGCUUAAAGACUUGUAAGACAUGUCGUUUGAAACACUUCCAGUCUUACAGAUGGAAAAUGUCAUUACAAAAAAAGACUUCUAAAGGUGUUAGGGGAUGCCAAAUAAGACCACACGUCUUAAAAGAUAGAAGACACUAUCUAUGGCUAACCAAAAUCUAUAACGACCAACGGUUUAAGAAAGUCUCAAGACUACAAAAUGGAAACAGAUUCCUUACUUUACUGCUACCCACGGCUUACAAAACCAUUUAGACAUGUCGGUUGAGACACAUAUAGAUGGAACAUAUCCUUAGACAAAGGCUAUGAAUGGGAACCAAGAACCCUUUGACAGGGACUUUACUACUCACGGCUUACAAAGACAGGUUAGUUAAAAGACAUACGGAUAGAGCAUGUCCUCAGAAAAAGGAUAUGAAUGGGAAUUGAGAACUAUUUAGACAGGGAUUAAACUAUACUAUAACUCACGGCUUACAAAAACGAUCAAGCAGUGAGUUAAAAUACAAAAGAGGGAUCAAAAGUCUUUAAAAGACAAUGGUUCGGUUAUAGAUUUGCUGGAUGGAAUAAAACGACCAGCUACUACUUCCACAAGGCUUAAAAGUGAAAAACUAUGGGUUCACUUUCAUUAUGUUGGAUGAAUAUAACGACCAACAGCUUAGAGAAGUCUGACAAAACGAACAAUAGUUUAAAGAAGACAUGUUGGGUUGGAAACAUACACUAACGGUUUAGAGUUAUGACUCAGAUUCUGAACUGAAAACAAGAUUUGAAGUGGUUUGUUGUAUGGAUAAACAACCAACAAUUUCAGAAUACUACAAAUCGUAUGUGAUUCUUUACUGUACUACAUACUAUAUAGCGACAAAAAAAUGAAAAACUAAUUCAUGAUCUAGGCAUUGGAAGGAACAUGGUCCUCAUGAAACAUACUAAAUGUAAGUAAAGAUUAAUUCUUUUUUUUUCCUCAGGUUUGUGCUUCAGGAGGUGUUCAAAUGGUUAGACUCUGAGGAGAUUACAAGUCUGGCAGACUUUCGUGACAGGUAUUAUGCUUCUCACAAAUCUCUUUGUAAUAAAUUGAGUCUUACGCAGAUAUAUAUUUUGUAGGCAGAGAGACUUCUGCAGUUUAUUUGACUAUUGAAUCUAUUUUUUGUGUUAUCUACUAACCUUAUUGACGAUCAUUCUAAAUAUAGGAAAUGACGUUCAUAUCAUUUUAUAACUAAUUUUGGUUCUUGCAUUCUGCAUUCUACAAUCUACAUUCAGCAUAAUGUUUUUUACAAUUCUGCAUCCUGCAUCCUGCAUCCUGCAUCACGUCUGUACAAUUCGCAUCCUGCAUCCUGCAUCCUGCAUUCUGUCUUUACAACUCUGCAUUAUGUAUUACACCAAAAAACUCUGCAUUAUGUGUAUCAUGUCUUUACCAUUCUGCAUCCUGCAUAUGUCUUUAAAUUCUGCAUUAUGUAUCGUGUGUUUACAAUCUUGUAAUCAUAUUUGUAUGUCUAAUAAAUUCUGGCAUUCUGCAUCAUAGUUCAUAUACUUAUGAUUGAUGUAUUAUAUUCUAUAAAUGUUAUCUAUUGAAUUGGAUUUUUAAUACACACUGAUCAAAAAUAUAUUUGUUAUGGUGCUAGUGUUUAUCAUUAGUCGUACAUAGUUGGUGGUUCUGGAAAUUUACUGAAUCAUUGGUGGAUUUAUUUAGCAUGCGCAGUAUAUCGUCUCCUUUGUAGGCACAUCAUAUAUGCUGUAAUCUUCUAGGUUUUUAGGUAGGCUAAGUUUAAUAUAUGCCUAAAAUCUUAUUUCGGUUUAAUAAAUUGUAUUUCUGCUAUUAUAGUGGUUAAUUUGGAAGUUUUUGACUCAUUUUCCGUGCAUAUUGUUCAUUGUAGCUUGAAGGUAAUUUCAGUUGUACUCUUUUAAUAUCUUGCACCUGGUCUUGUCCAUGAUUUACUCCAUAUAUAAUCUUCCACGAAGAUAAUUUUAUUGCUGUUUUUUUUUGUUUAAUAUGGAAAAUCUGAAUUUAGAUGUUAGUUUUGUUGAUAAAGAAAAUGCCUUCUAUAUAUUUUUUAAAGUUUCUUAAGAUGGUUUAUUAUUCUCUCAAACUAAUAAUAAAACUUGUUAGACUCAAAUUGAGAUUCUCUAAAUAAUCUAUGAUCUAAAUUCCAUAAUUUGACUUUAGUGGUUGCAUGUGGACUAUGUUUUUUUUCAAUUUACGAUUUGAUAUUAUUGAUUCGUGGAUGUGUUCUAGGUUACAAAUUUUGCAUGCUUAAUUUUAUUGGUUUUGGCAUGAUCAAUGUUUUUAUUAAAACAAACACUUGAAUCUCUUUUGACUAUGUUUACUAAACAGUUUAAGGUUACGAGAUAAAUUAUUAUUGCAACAUAAUGUUAAAAUCAUGAUUAUUCGUCUUAAAUUAAAGUAGUACUAUAAGGAAACUACAACUCUCACGGAAAUAUUAUUUUAAGAUUACCAAUUUAACUUCAUAAUACCUAUUUUCAAUUUUUUUUUAACAAUUUAACAAACUUUUAGUCAAAAUUUAGUACGUCAUUACUUAGGAGGGCUCUCUCUAAGUUCCAUCUUAUAACUGAAGUAUAUGACGUUCCAACUUAAGCAACCAAUGAACAAACUAUACAUUAUCGAAGUACAGUGACGUCUCCCAACUUAUUAAGCAAACAAAGAAAAAACUAUACACUUACAAUAUUCCCAGAAGUAAUGAAUCGUAUAAUAUUCUGAAAAGCAAUGAAUACUAUAUAUUUAAACAAUGCCGAAGGAGCUGCAACUUAGAAAAGUGGUGUCAACUUAGCGGCUAAACAUACGACAAAUCAUGAUUUGAUUACUAAGUAUCUUAGUAUAUGAAAAAAUUAGUUUGAGUAAACAUAGUCAACAUUUUAUCUCACUAAUUCAUCUACUAUAUUGCUUAUCUUUUCUUUCUUCACAAGUAAUGAAAAAUAAAUCUAAAAACAAAAUUUGCAAAAGAAAAGCCCUUUCCAAACACAGUUAUAAUAUCAGAAGCUUUAUAAUCCAAUCUCGACAACAACAACAACAAACAAAUCUAUACACAUGCACACUUUAGACCCAACCAUGUUUGUAUUUGCGGGAAAGAUCUUCAUUCUGAGCAUUCCUAAAUGCACUAAACGCAGUAACAUAUACCCAAAUGAGAAUAACGACGGUCUCAUCGGCCACAUAGUAAAUGCACCAAUUCACAUACUAUUUACAAGUCCAAGCGACCAAAUCACGAGGAAAGCAAACAAUGAAUAUUUAAUAACCAUUGUAUGACUAUAUAUAAUUAUUGCACAUUUUUAUUAAUCUUAUAUCAUAACAAAAAUUAAUAACUUUCAAUCAAAUAAUCAACAAUUUGGCUAUUACACUUUUUAAUUGUCAUGCAUAUGUUUAAACUUAGAUUUUCAUACAUUUAAACUUAAAGUGUCAUGCAUAUAUUUAAACUUAAGUUUAUUUUAUAGUAUAAUCUCAAGAUCAACUAUGCAGAGACUACAACUAAAUUAAUACAUCUUUAUGUCAAUAUAUCAAUACAUGUUUAUUUUCUAAAAUAGUAUUAAAAAUGUUCUAGAUUAUAAUAUUAGAAGAAAGCUAUACUAAUAAUAGCACAUAAACUUUGAUAUUUCUGGUCUAAAUUUUUCUGACUAGAUAUUUGCUUAAGCAUUUAUUACAAUCGAAAAAUAAAAUAAGUCAAAUGUCAUAUGAACACAAGUUUUUGACUUUAGGAAAAGAUUCACAUGCCACCUUCAAGUUCGCUGCAAGGCUCCAAACAACACAUAUAUCUUAAACUUAUGAAAGAGUUCAUCCCUGCUGUUUACUUGUCAACGCUGGUUAUCUUGAUUUGUAAUGUAUCCAUGAAUAUAUAAUUAUUGGAAAUUGGCAAACAAUGUAAUUUCUUGUAGUAUGUGAUUUUUUUCAUAAAGCUAAUUGAUCAAAUUAAAAAGAAUUAACUACAAUUGCGCUUGCACAUUAUACCUGUUUAGUAAAUGUUCGUGUAUGAUUUUUUUGGAAUAUGCAUGCAUUGUGGUCGUGCUUUCACACGCAAACCUUUGGUUUAAGAUCAUCUACAUGUUAGUUUACAUUUCAAAGUAUUAAAUAUCCAAAGUAUGAUUCUAUUCAAGAUCACUUUAAUAUCUUGACAUCUUGUAGGGAUAUACUACAAGAUUGGAUAUUUCUAUAAGAAAAUUAACUAGCCUUAAGUUACAAAAAAAAAAAAAAAAAAUUAACUAGCCUGCUAAUAUUGGAUAUUGAAGUGAUAUUGAAUAGUAGUAUUAUAGUACUUUGGUAAAAUAUCACACUCAUUUUUUACUCGUUUUCAUAUUUUAUCAACUCGUCUUGCAAGCGUAAGCAAAUAUAGUCUUGUCAUCGAAAAUCAUAAUAAAAACUUUGAUAUUUGAAAGCAAAGUUCACUGAUCAUAUUAUUAUUAAGCCACAACUUUGGGAAUUUGAAUAUGCUACUUUAAAUGUCUCUAAGGAUACCCUUUGACUUUUGAACUCUUAUAUACACUAGAUC